AGUUUCCACAGAACCAGCCACCCGUGGCCUGGCUGGCGCGCGGCCCGUGCCGCUGGGACCGGGGCGACCGGGCUCGGCCGGCUGCCGGGCCGCGGCGUCCCCGACACCCUCGGGCCCGGCACCGGACCUCCACCGCGCGGGGCAACGGCUGGGACGAAGGGAAACGUGGUGAGAAUGUAUCGGAGGAGGCGGCACUGGCCGAGGCCGGUGGAUGCUGCAGCAGCCGCGGGCAGCCCUUCGCCCUCACCCUGCCCCAGCGAGCCCGCGGGAGGAAGCGGGCUCCAUCCUCCUGAGGCAAAACCGGAGCUGGCGCCAUCCCACAAAGCAUCUUCGGCCAAAAACGGGGAAGGAGCCUGCCCUGGGCUAAGGAAAGACCCUGCUGUUAACAGGGCACCUGCGCCAGCCCCCGCACGAGGCAAGGUGCCGUCGUCGCUUCAGCACGACGGUCCUGAGACCGGCCAGCGCCCGCGUUCACCACGGGAAUUUCCACAGCUUGGGCUCGGGGGCUCUUGGGCGGUUUGGGGAGAAUUUGGGGUUCAUGACGUAUCGCAGCACCGACCGCUUGUCCUCGAACGAGCAAAUCACCAGGCUGCAGCGAGACCAAACACGACAUCGGGCAGCGCAAAGCUGCAGCCCGUAACUUUUUCUGGCUGGGAGAGAGAGAAAGUAUCUCAGCAUCCUUCCUAGGACAAGUGUGUGAGGCUAAACAUAUGCUCGAUAAACACAUCUCUCUGGACCAGACACAUCUGUCUGGCUCCUGAAUUAACAAUUCCUGUGCCUGGCUGAGUUAGGUGACUGACUUUUAGCCAUUGCAUCAACUAUUUUCCUACAAUAAGACAAGACGGUCAGAUUUUUACAGCCUCCUAUGUAGAGAGCAGAUACACCCACACACGCUGGGGGAUGAGAAACUAAAAACAGCCAGUUUCUUCUUUACAAGCAUUCCCACUUUAACUAAAUAUUUGCAAUAUGUUUAUACAGAGUGAGCUGCCUGACCUUUUAUAGAGAGAGCUGAAAAGCAUUAGCUCUGCAGCCCUCGCUGCAAGCCGUCCACCUACAGAGGCCCAAGACCCACGCAGAAAACGCAAUAAUCAUAUUCCCCCCGCUUUAGCGAGGACAGAAAGGCAACGGCUUCUCUUCCAAAAACAUUGCCAAAGAUUCAUCUAAGUUGUCAUUUUUUUUCCUGGCUACAAGAUUUCUGAGAGAUACAAUAAAGGGUAAUACAAAUACCAGAAAGCUCUCAAACGCAAAUUAUCAACUGCUGGCGUUACACGAGGUGCCACGGCCCAGGAAUGGGCACAGUAUCGGAUGCCGUUAACAGGGACCGUUAACCUCAUGCGGAGACUCCACUAUUUGUCUGAUGCCAAACUGGUUUAAAACAACUGAGUCCCCGUACACAGGCUUUUGCCUUUCUGCACCUUUUGCAUGCAAACACACAUCAGCUUUUCAGGCGGGUUCGAGAGCACCCCACGCGCGGGGAGCGGCACCCGCCGGGACGAGCCGAAAUUGGGCUCGGGCAGCCUGGCGCCGGCUGGGUGCUCGUUCGCCCAGCGAGCGCUGCGCAGCGCAGGGCAUCGCUCGUGCAACGCAGUCCUUCCCUUGCACCCGUUCGGAUAAAAUUGCCUGGGAGGAUUAAUUCCAUCCCUUCCUCCAGGACUGUCUCCUUCGGGGGGAAGAGCGUACCUCGCGGGCUUGCCUGCGCCGGGGCUGCUCGCACGGCCCUUGCUGACUGCGGACUGAAGGACUGUCAACGUGCUGCGUGACAGAAAAUGCAAUAUCGGGUAUCGCUACACAAAAGGACGGUUAAUCUCUAGAGUCCUUCAAAUGUCUUAUAAAAACUCCAAUAUAUAAAUAAUACCAGUAUGGAAGUAGAGGUCCCUGCAGAGAUCAGGGCCCUAUCACGCAGGGUGUUUUAUGUACGUGUUGAAAAAGGCUGUCUAUACUCAGAGGAGAUUAUAUUUUAAAAAGAAGAUAAUGAACCUCAUUUUGCAGGUGGGGACAGAGGCAUAAAAAUAAUUUGCACAUGCAGAACUCGUUGCUAAGCCAGACGCUGAGCUCAGAUCCUCUUAUAGGUCCUGUCCACUGCCACAGCCACCAAAGCAGCCUUUUCCUCUGGCAGCUCAGUGCUGUCGUGUCACGGUGCCAGGUUCCACCAGAAAAACAACCCAGGUCGUUACGCAGUUAUACGGCUAUUCUGGGGCAAAUUCUGUGCUCACUUGCACUGGUGCAGCCCUGCUCGCUCCAGCCUGGCUGCAGCAGAAAGCCGAGCUAAAUUUGGCCCUCGGGCACCUCCAAAAAUAAUUGGAGGUGAGAAAAACACAAUAGCAGCACACGGCUUUUAAAAGUAUACAUAAAAUAUUUAAAAAAAAUAGAUAAAUUAUAUAUGUGUAUACAAUGCCCAGAGAUGCCUCGAUUUAUACGAUACGGUUUCUUGAGAGCAGUACAGCUCCAGGCAACAGAACCGAGAAGUCAAGCUGAACAGCAAUACUGUAUCCCAGAGAUGGUGACAUCUUAUAGCAGGGAACAGAGGGGCCCCUGGGGCACCGCGUAAAAAUUAUUACCGAGCAGCAAAACAACAAUGUAAGUUAAUUUCAUUGAAAUUAACAGUAGUUUCCUCCCCGUGAGCACGCGGAGAGGUAUAACCAGAGCAAAAAGGGGGGAGGAACGUGCAGAGUCAAGCAGCUUGAGAGGCUAAACCUCACAAAUGCUUUGGAGAGACUUAAAAACAAACAAAACCACUCCAGGAUUUAGGAGUGAUGGGCCUUAAAAAAACUGUUUAAAUAAUUGCUCUCUCUCUCUUUUGGAAGCUUUAAAAAAGAAACCCAGCUUCUUCUUCAACUGUUCAACAAAUUUUCCCCCACCGAGCCCGAGGAUGACAGAAGGCUGCUUGCAAUGCAUGUGCUGGUGGAGCUGCUCAAUUUUACUUCCAGUAAGGAGACAGCAGCGUAUUUGCAGCAUUUGUAACAAAUGCAAGAUUUCACAUGCAUCUAAAUCUAAGUCUAUUCAUCAGACCCAGAACCCAGUCCCAAAAACACGUUGGUCCAGAAAUGGAUUUUUGUGUGAUAUAACUACUGCAGACGUGGCUCUCAUUUAUUUGAGCUGAACUGAAUUACAGUAAUUAUAUUAGUGCAUACUUCCAAAGCGAGUGUAGUUAGACCAGAACGGACCUGGUUUAUGUUGGUACAACUUCUUUAUUUUCUCUGGAAGUCUUCUGGUACCAGGACCUUCGCGGCAAUGGGUCGUGUGCCUUUAAAGCGCACACAUAAUUAAGACGGUCGGAGAGCAUGUGUACACGCCUUUCGUAAAUUGAGGCUCUGACUCUGUAAAAAGACAAUCCCCAUUCAGAAAGUACUUACACACAUGGUUAAGCCCUGCUGACUUAAUUUGUUAAGUACGGCCUGUUUUAAGCAUAUGCUUAAAUGUUUUGCUGAAAUUGAGGCCACAGAAUUUGCGGCUCGGAGCGGUUCUGCUGCGCCUAGAGGACUCGUCACAUCAGUUAGGACUGCGCCUAGAGGAGCCACGUGGCCGGGCUCCGUGCUGGAGGAGCAGUAUCCUACUAAACACUUACAACAAGCAGUAAAAAAAAAGGAAGAAAGAAAAGAAAAGAAAACCCUUUUAAGCAGGGGAAAGUUACUGAGGACGAAACACUAUAACUUGGGCCAGCCAAUAUGGAGCAUUUCCUUCUGAGAACUUUUAGCGCAAGUAAAUCCCUAGGUGAAACCUCGCAGGAUAAAGACACGGGCGGUACAAAGUCUCAUCUUCUUCACCUAAACCAAAAGCUUUCCCUUCCCAAGGGGGUCUCGCAGCUCCUCGCCCCUCAGAGUUUCUCACCGGACAGAAACAGGGCCCCGAGGGUGCUCGAGCACGUGAAAGUCAAACCCACCAGGAAAAGGAGAUUCACCAGCAAAACAGCAGCUUCCUCGUUUUAACGCCUGUCUCGCCUUCUCCGUCUUCCCUGGGACCGGCCAGAUCGGUAUAAGCUAGGGGACUGUUGCACCCAAAGGGAAGGUCUUAGGACAAGGGUAAAAGUCAGCUCGUGCUGGUUCUCACUUCUGCCUCUUCCCACGUCCUCGGCCCGGCCUGGGGCUGGCGGCUCCGUGCCUCAGUUUACUCUGAGCCGAGGUAGGAAUCAAAACCCUGCUGUCUUCCUCCACCGCUUCUUCUAAAACUCACUUUAAUACAAACUCUUCUUCUUUAAACACAAAGAUAAGAGGAAAAAAAACAUUAAACAACCUAGCAAUGUCCUCUAGUAAUAACAAAACAAAAAGCAAAAUACUUAGAAAUUCAAAACGAAGACCGAAAGCCUUUCGUCACGUCCUCCUGCUGAAGUUCACUAAUGUAUGAAGCAAAUGGGGUAACAUAUCACAGGCAUCCAAGACAUUUGUAAUGCCAGGGUCAAAGUGCCACGCGCAGAAUUGUGCCGUCUCCCUCCAGGCAAAACUCUCCGAGGCAGAUUUUCAGCUGGUGUAAAUUGCCCAAACCCCAUAAUGAAGUUAUGACAAUUUACAACAGCUGAGGAUCUGCUCGUCUAAUGAAGAGAAAUACUGGGAGGAGGGAAUGAAUUAGUUUUAACUAAGAGCUCAUUGCAGAGCACACACAAACACCUUCGAGAGGUCCCUGAGAUCCUUCCCUUGUUUAAAGAAAGGAGACGAGAAAGAGCAGCAACGUCCCUUCCCGAGCAACGGGAUUUUUCUUCGCCCCUUCAGCUGAAGGAUGGAAUUCAAUAAAAGCUUCUCAGACACACAGGAAAAAAAUGAUCUGCAAGUAAACGAAGAUGUAAAUAGUAUUAAAAAGGGGCUUCACUUUUCUUCUCGUCUGCGGGUUGUUUUUUUCCUGUUUCCCUCCAACAGGAAAGCCAGCCACGCUGGCCCAUAUUUCACCGCUGACAGCCCCUUCCAUCACCGAAACAAUAGCCCUGCGCCACUGACCAGGGUCACCGCCGCGCGGGCACUUUCCCAACACCGCAGGAUCAACAGAAAACAUUAGUCUCUAUCUCCGAUUUUCUUCCUGCGAUUCUCUCGACAGAGCCCGCUGCAAGCCGGGGAUAUUUCACGGAAUAUCUACAAAAUCGAGGGGAAAAAAGCGCUUGUGUGCUGCGCUGAACAAAGAGCUCGGAUGCAAAAGCGUUUUGUCUGGAUGCGGUCUGAGCAGCGCGAGUUCGCUGCAUCACACGUAGUCAGGAUCGUGUAUUGAUCUAUAGAUAAACUAUCAGGGCAGCGACUGCUUACAAUCCACCCUCCGUGUAACCGAUGUAAAAAUAAAAUACGCUGCCGCCGUACACGGCACACGCACGUCCUUCCCACCCGGGAGCCCCGUUUCCUGCCACAGGUGUCCCAAGGACGGCUCUAAUAAACACGAGCAUUUCAGCUUUCCAAAGAAUAACGCAGAGUUACGCGUUCAGAUGAACUCAGAGCACUUGAAUUUAAAUGCAUUAUUCCCGUAUUAGACUGUACACGAGGUAUGAAAUACUCUGGAAGUAUCGGUGUGCAAAAUUUCAGGCACCCAAGGCUGGAAAGAGAUUUGAUCUGGUGCUUUCGGGCACCAGCACAAAAUCUUUUGGGGCACAGAAAAAAGCCACAAGAGGGGGAGCGGGAUGCAAAGGAUAAAGGAAAAUAAAACACUCCUUUGUGGUCUCUGUCUGCAAAGUACCGCACAUUUUAAAAGCCCAGAAAAAACAGGAAAUGAUAAAACAUAAUAAAAUAAAAGCCAUGCAAUACCAAAUCCUAGUUUAAAUUCAGCAUUACUAAUGUUAACGAGAGCCUGCUGGUUUUAAGCCUUGAUUUCUUGGUGUUCCAUUUUUUUAAGCUAAACUAAGUUUUUGAAUGUUCUUUUCUCAUAUUUUUUGUAAAGAAAGGAAGGAAGGAAAAAAAGUCCAAAGCUCUUCAGCUGAAAGGACUUUUAAAACAUCUGUCAUCAUAGAUGUGUAAAACAAAAACCGGCAGCAGCGAAUUCUCCGUCCUUAUUCACUGUGUUACCCAGCAGAGGCAAAAUUCACGCUCUGCAAGUUUUCCUGGGAAGCACUGUGGAGCAGAGAUUUUCUUUUUUUAAUUAAAAAAUUGUUUCAAUUAAAAAAAGAGAGAGAGAGAGACUAAGUGGAGAAGAAGUCUGAAAAAUGUGUCUACUUAGACUUCAAACCUUUUUCUAAGCAGAAAUGCAGAUUUCAAUGAUAAGACGAGUGAAGGGGAUGUGGAGAGAACACCUGAAAGAGCCACUGACAGCACUGGUGUCAGAGGUACUCGAUGGCUGUUUACACCAAGUGCCAUCUGGCUGUAUAGAUAUAAUAACAAUUAUUCCAUCGAGGUAUGCAGCUCUCUAAAUCAUAUUAAUAUACAAUGAUUCCACUAGUCUUAUAGGACUUGCUGUUUCUGUGUGCUCCCAUUUAACCUGGGUAAUGUGCUAAAACAAGCCUGCCUCAUCAUUAAGAAUUGAUUUUUUAUUUAUGUGAAUGUCACUUGCAAUCCCAUGAUAUCCCUUUGUAAUUCCAGAAAACAGGGGCUGCAAACCUGCGUUAAUCUCGUUUUAUGGCAUAUCUUUAAAAAUUUGCAGCAUCUUGCUACAUUUGGAUAUUUAUGUUGAGAUUUGUGUCCUCGCGCAAGGCUGCUGUUUUGCUUCCGAGAUCUAUUUCACACGGCACUGGCGCAAAGUAUCUAAUAUACUUCAUUAGCUAUAUUACAUCAGAUAAGGGUUUUAUUUCUUUAAAUUAUUUAACCUUGGUAGAGCCCACUGGGACUACAUAAAUUACAGCCCCACUAAUGAAAAUCAUUAGUUAGGCUAUUCAAAAAGACAACAGGAGAAGAAUUAGAUAUUUUUUCAAAUCAACUCUUUUCUAUAUUUGAAAUCCAAGAUAUUUGAUAAUUCAGCGCAAUCAUCUGUUUGCUCACAUCAGUGCCGAUUAGGGCUCGAUGCAGAAACAUCUGAGGCAGCUAUAUAACAUUUUUGCAGAAUAUACAUUUUUUUCCUCCCGUUUCUGGAGUCCUCUUAAAAGCUCCUCUGCUGCCUUCUGAAGGAGAGCAGACUAUUAAACACCUUUUUAUCAUCAUCAGUAGAGCCAGAAUUUAGUUCCUAAUUACAGAAAUAAAUGUCAAACACUUGUGUGUCUUUUCUUAAAGAUGGAGCACGUGAUGCAGCCGUGGAAAUCCGAGCUGCCGGAGCUCAGCCCCCACGGCAGGGCCCUACCUUCUCCUCCUGGAGAAGAUUCCCGCACCGGAAGCAGGAUUCGGCGGUCCUGCAAAGCCAGCUGCAGAAAGCCACAGCAAAAAUAAAAAUAAUAAACAGGGACCAUUGCAAUAUGGAAGAUAUCCUACACUUGCAGCGCCCCGAAAUCGGAAUGGCCUCCCCGGGAGGUCAGCAGGACUGGUGAUGGAUUCGUGAAGCCACCAAAGUUUCUUCUGGCCUGCAGAGCUGGACCAGAGCGAUCCUGCGGGACCGCGCGGUGCCCGGUCGUCCCCGGCGGCUCGUGACCACCUCCAGUGUUCGUGAGCAGACUGGUCAGCCCUGAAAGCAAACCAAGAACCCCCAGCAUUUAAAAAGCAUUAUCAGUCAAAUAAAUAAUUUUUCUAAA